UGUACGAAUCAAUUGUACAGUCUGGCCUGCCCACUGAGUUUUAAAGGGCCGCGGUAUCCUUACCGUGCUAAGGUAGCAAAAUAAAUAGGCCUUUAAUUGAGGUCUAGAAUGAAUGGUCGGACAAGAAGUAAUCUGUCUUACUAGUAAGACUUGAAUUUUACCUUUAAGUGAAAAGGCUUAGAUUGUUUAAGGGGACGAUAAGACCCUAUAAAACUUUACGUUAGUCCUCUUAAACCCGAGUCUUAAUGUUUAAUGGGUUUAGCGGGAGCGCGUUAAGCUGGGGCGGCUGGAAUAUAAGUUAGUAAGUAACUGUUCAAGAUUGGAAAUAGCUAUAAUUAGAUUAUAUGAUCCCUUUUUAAGGUUUAAAAGAAAAAAGUUACUUUAGGGAUAACAGCGUAAUUUUCUCUGAGAGUCCAUAUCGACGAGACUAGUUGCGACCUCGAUGUUGAAUUAAGAUGUUACCAGGGUGCAGAAGUUCUGGUGGUAGGUCUGUUCGACCUCUAAAAUCUUACAUGAUUUGAGUUCAAACCGGUGU
rnacentral:rRNA from 1 species